GGAAGUAAAGUCGUAACAAGGUAACCGUAGGUGAACCUGCGGUUGGAUCAUUACUGAUUCGUAAAAUGCUUUGUGUAUUGUGUUUGGUUCCCUUUUUUUUCUUUGGUUUCAGGAGGGAAGAGAGGCUUGUACUUUUUUUUUUCUUGAGAUUGAGGGAAAGGGGGCCACCGCCCACAAGACUAAAGCCGAUUAUCAUCCUUUUUGCUUUGUAUUGUUGUCAGCUUCUGAGCUGAGGAAGGCCCGCCCGUUAAAAGGCUUGUGUCCCACCGCGUUUCGUUGGUUUUUAAUGUUCAAGGAC
rnacentral:misc_RNA from 1 species